GAUGAACGCUGGCGGCGUGCCUAAUACAUGCAAGUCGAGCGAACGGACGCGAAGCUUGCUUCUCUGUUGUUAGCGGAGGACGGGAGAGUCACACGUGGAUCCCCUACCUAUAUGACUGGGAACACUUCGGGAAACCGUAGAUAAUCCCGGAUAAUAUUCUGAACCGCAUGGUUCAAAAGUGAAAGACGGUCUUGGUGUCACUUAUCGAUGGAUACGCGCUGCAUUAGCUGGUUGGGAAGGUUACGGCUUACCACGGCAACGAUGCCUAGCCGACCUGAUAGAGUGAUCGGCCGCAUGGGAGGGGAGACAGGGUCCAUACUCCUACGAGAGGCAGCAGUAGCGUACCGGCGGCAGUGGGCGAAAGCCUGACGCAGCGAGGCCGAGUGAGUUGUGAAGGUCUUCGGAGCGUAAUACUCGGUUAUUAGGUAAGAACAGAUGUGUAAUUAACUGAGCACAGCGUGACGGUACCGAAUCAGAAAGCCACGGCUAACUACGUG
rnacentral:rRNA from 1 species